rnacentral:rRNA from 1 species
AGCGAACGCUGGCGGCAGGCUUAACACAUGCAAGUCGAACGCCCGUAGCAAUACGGGAGUGGCAGACGGGUGAGUAACACGUGGGAACGUGCCCUUCAGUUCGGAACAACCCAGGGAAACUUGGGCUAAUACCGGAUACGUCCGUAAGGAGAAAGAUUUAUCGCUGAAGGAUCGGCCCGCGUCUGAUUAGCUAGUUGGUGAGGUAACGGCUCACCAAGGCGACGAUCAGUAGCUGGCUGAGAGGACGAUCAGCCACACUGGGACUGAGACACGGCCCAGACUCCUACGGGAGGCAGCAGUGGGGAAUCUUGGACAAUGGGCGCAAGCCUGAUCCAGCCAUGCCGCGUGAGUGAUAAGGCCUUAGGGUUGUAAAGCUCUUUCGGUGGGGAAGAUAAUGACGGUACCCACAGAAGAAGCCCGGCUAACUUCGUGCCAGCCGCCGCAGUAAU